CGCCCUUAGAGUUUGAUCAUGGCUCAGAUUGAACGCUGGCGGCAGGCUUAACACAUGCAAGUCGAGCGGUAGGAGAGCUUGCUCUCUACGAGCGGCGGACGGGUGAGUAAUGUCUGGGAAACUGCCUGAUGGAGGGGGAUAACUACUGGAAACGGUAGCUAAUACCGCAUAACGUCGCAAGACCAAAGAGGUCCGUCUUGCCAUCAGAUGUGCCCAGAUGGGAUUAGCUAGUAGGUGGGGUAACGGCUCACCUAGGCGACGAUCCCUAGCUGGUCUGAGAGGAUGACCAGCCACACUGGAACUGAGACACGGUCCAGACUCCUACGGGAGGCAGCAGUGGGGAAUAUUGCACAAUGGGCGCAAGCCUGAUGCAGCCAUGCCGCGUGUAUGAAGAAGGCCUUCGGGUUGUAAAGUACUUUCAGCGAGGAGGAAGGCAUUAAGUAAUCUUGGUGAUUGACGUAACUCGCAGAAGAAGCACCGGCUAACUCCGUGCCAGCAGCCGCGGUAAUACGGAGGGUGCAAGCGUUAAUCGGAAUUACUGGGCGUAAAGCGCACGCAGGCGGUUGGUGAGGUCGGAUGUUAAAUCCCUAGGCUCACCUAGGGACGCAUUCGAAACUUG
rnacentral:rRNA from 1 species